CUACAUACCUCAUACGAAACAAA
rnacentral:snRNA from 1 species